rnacentral:rRNA from 1 species
UACGGAGGGGGCUAGCGUUGUUCGGAAUUACUGGGCGUAAAGCGCACGUAGGCGGCUUUGUAAGUUAGAGGUGAAAGCCCGGGGCUCAACUCCGGAAUUGCCUUUAAGACUGCAUCGCUAGAAUUGUGGAGAGGUAAGUGGAAUUCCGAGUGUAGAGGUGAAAUUCGUAGAUAUUCGGAAGAACACCAGUGGCGAAGGCGACUUACUGGACCCAUAUUGACGCUGAGGCUCGAAAGCAUGGGGAGCAAACAGG